rnacentral:tRNA from 1 species
GGACGCGUGGCCUAGUUUGGAUAGGGCAGCAGCCUCCUAAGCUGCGGGUCCCGGGUUCAAAUCCCGGCGCGUCCG